CUGAAAGGUAGUAACAACACUGGGGAGGCAGAGAAUGGUGAGCUUUCUUGCUGGGACAGGGACAGCAGUGGAACUCCAUGACAAGUUUGUGCUAGGACCUGGGAUGUUCUGUGGUACUCAUGACCAUCCUUGAUAAAAUAAUGACCACAAGUGGGAAGAGGAUAUUCUGCCACAUAAAAUUCUGACCUAACAUAGUACUGAUACUUCUGUGUAAAGAUCCCUCCAUCAUGGUGCAAAAAAUGCUCUACUGGACUUUGAUAUAAUUUCUUGUUAUUUUGGACAUGGAGAAGUGGAACAACUGUUUUUGAGCUUACAGACACUUCACAGCACCCCAAGGAGACCUGGGCAAGCAGAAGUUCCCUAGCAGGUACAAGACAAGGGCAGUGAUGACUGAAGUCAGUCCAUAUUGUUCAGCUUGCAAUGCCCUCAGACUUCAGUGAGUGCCAUGUAUUUCUUCAGGAUGUUUUGCUCCAGAGGCAAGGAAAACGAGGCUGAGAGGGCUAGAGAGACCCCCAGGAUUGCAUGGCCUGUUUGUGGCACAGCCAGGGUUUGCAUUUGGGAUUUCUUGGUAUCAGGAAGAUUUGGAGUUCACUGCAUUACGAGAUGUUGCUGACUGCAAGUGACUGGAGUAAACAAUGGCUGCAGUGCACAGAAACCAUGUGUGUGGCAUCUGCACGGGGGAUGGCACUGACUUGCCCCAUGACACAUGCAGAAGAGAAGCACUGUCUGACUGGCACUGUCUACACUUGGCCCAGGAUUCUCACCCAGGGAAUAAACAAAAAGUGUCUUCGAGGCAGAGGGGAGAAGUCCCCAUCUGGCUUCCAGGCCUGGGCAGAUACCAUGUAGUGCUGUCAAGCCCCCUCACAAAGCAGUGUCCUCUUUUUCUUCCCAAAUCUCUGCCAUCCUUUAUCCUGUCCCAGAUGUCCUUUCACAACUGCCCAGUCCCACCUGAUUCAUGUUUGUAAUACUCUCAAUUAAAAAAUUAGUAAUUAAAAUGAAGCCCUCUUUUCCCAUAUUACUCCCAGCCAUUACACUGUUCCAUCUGCCCAUUCCCAGAUCCCUUCUUGUUUUUAAAAGACUCAUUAGCAUGUGAUCUUGUCUCUGCCAGGAUUCCCCAGUGCCAUCUGCUCCCUUCCUAGAUGAUCAGUCUCGCUCAGAUCACUGUUUACCACACUUAAAAAUAUGACACAUUUUCUAAGCUUGGAGGAUGCUGUUGUGUUUCUCUACAAAAGUCAGUGGCUAUCAGUUUCUUGCCACAUUGACCUUCGUCCUUAGAUGCCCUGAUGCAUUCCCAGAACUCUGGGGGUUUUGUGGUGGCAGCAGAUCUGUGUCCCUCAGGCUAUACAGCCACAUGCUGGGCUAUAAUUUGUUUAAGACAUUUAGCACCUCCCCAGAUUCAGCAUCCUCUUUGUGGGAACAAUUUGUGUCCAUCUUAAUUCCUGCAGCAUAAAAUUACUAAGUUCA
rnacentral:lncRNA from 1 species